rnacentral:rRNA from 1 species
UGGGGAAUUUUGGACAAUGGGCGAAAGCCUGAUCCAGCAAUGCCGCGUGUGUGAAGAAGGCCUUCGGGUUGUAAAGCACUUUUGUCCGGAAAGAAAUCCUUGGCUCUAAUACAGUCGGGGGAUGACGUUACCGGAAGAAUAAGCACCGGCUAACUACGUGCCAGCAGCCGCGGUAAUACGUAGGGUGCAAGCGUUAAUCGGAAUUACUGGGCGUAAAGCGUGCGCAGGCGGUUUGCUAAGACCGAUGUGAAAUCCCCGGGCUCAACCUGGGAACUGCAUUGGUGACUGGCAGGCUAGAGUAUGGCAGAGGGGGGUAGAAUUCCACGUGUAGCAGUGAAAUGCGUAGAGAUGUGGAGGAAUACCGAUGGCGAAGGCAGCCCCCUGGGCCAAUACUGACGCUCAUGCACGAAAGCGUGGGGAGCAAACAGGAUUAGAUACCCUGGUAGUCCACGCCCUAAACGAUGUCAACUAGUUGUUGGGGAUUCAUUUCCUUAGUAACGUAGCUAACGCGUGAAGUUGACCGCCUGGGGGAGUACGGUCGCAAGAUUAAAACUCAAAGGAAUUGACGGGGUCAUAGCUGUUUCCU